rnacentral:lncRNA from 1 species
AAAGUUCAAAGGAUUUUUUCCAAAACCAAUUCCUAUAGUUAAACCAAUUCCAAAGCCAAUUCCUAUUAUUAAACCUAUUCCAAUUCCAGUUUAUAAGCCUAUUCCAAAACCAAUUCCUAUUGUUAAGCCUAUUCCAAAGUCAAUUCCAGUUGCUAAGCCAAUUCCUAAUGAAGAAGAAAAAUUCAAAGGAUUUAUUCCAAAGCCAAUUCCUAUAAUUAAGCCUAUUCCAAAGAUAAUUCCUAUUGUUAAACCUAUUCCAAAGAUAAUUCCUAUUGUUAAACCUAUUCCUAUUCCAGUUUAUAAGCCUAAACCAAAACUAAUUCCUGUUGUUAAGCCAAUUCCUGUUAUUAAGCCUGUUCCAAAGAUAAUUCCCGUUGUUAAACCAAUUCCAAUUAUUAAACCUGUGCCAAAAC